rnacentral:rRNA from 1 species
AGAACGAACGCUGGCGGCAUGCCUAACACAUGCAAGUCGAACGAGACCUUCGGGUCUAGUGGCGCACGGGUGCGUAACGCGUGGGAACCUGCCUUUAGGUUCGGAAUAACUCCUCGAAAGGGGUGCUAAUACCGAAUAAUGUCUUCGGACCAAAGAUUUAUCGCCUUUAGAUGGGCCCGCGUUGGAUUAGCUAGUUGGUGGGGUAAAGGCCUACCAAGGCGACAAUCCAUAGCUGGUCUUAGAGGAUGAUCAGCCACACUGGGACUGAGACACGGCCCAGACUCCUACGGGAGGCAGCAGUGGGGAAUAUUGGACAAUGGGCGAAAGCCUGAUCCAGCAAUGCCGCGUGAGUGAUGAAGGCCUUAGGGUUGUAAAGCUCUUUUACCCGGGAUGAUAAUGACAGUACCGGGAGAAUAAGCUCCGGCUAACUCCGUGCCAGCAGCCGC